rnacentral:lncRNA from 1 species
AAAAUUUCAAAAUUUAUUUGGAUUAAUAUCUGUAAAACUUUAUACAAAAAAGAAUUACAGUCUUUGAUGAUUUUCAUACAUUUUUAAAAUAGCUUUGCGGAAUUUCAAUUAUGGGUAUCAAUUUGAAUAUAUUCAUAACUCGUGCAGUUUAAAGCAAUUAGAAUGACACAUAACAAAAUAUCUAUCCAAUUGUCAAAGUUUUACAAGUGAUACAAUUCAACUGUCAUUUCGAUCACAAUUUUAACUGGUCAAUUUCAAUGUUGAGGAGUUUAUAAAAAAUCAUGUUGACUCUAUUAUUCCUUCAUUUUUAACCUUAUUUGACACAUCGUAGAAGUCGAUUACCUUUCAAAUUCAAUCAUAGAUAUUACUUGUUGUUUUGCAAGAAGUCGACAUUCCGGGGAAUGGUUGCUUCCGUGAAACAGUACUUUCAUUAUUACAAUAUUACAUAACAUAUUGCUGAAGAAUGAUCAAAUCACUUGCUGGGUUAAGGGUUUUGAAUACAUGGAAUAUAAUAAAGAUACAAUAAUAACAAUUUUUAAUCGUCUUUAAGGAACUUUUUUACUGUUUUCAAUGACGUCAUAACGACACGUAGGUGAUUAGGCUACGAGUGUGGAAUUUCAAUGUUUAUAUUUAAAGUGUAACUUGUCAUUUGGAAAUAAGUGCAAACUUUCGCAGUUUUAUGGAUUUUUAUCGGUAUCGUGUGCCGUCAGUUAGAGUUUACGUUAGGGUUUCCAAGUUAUCGUAGAUUUUCAGAACUGUGAGUCGCACGAGCAUCUCAUCAUCAAUAUAAUACAGCGUUGCACUAGCACCUUGGCAUAUCGCUCCUUUUUGACAAACUUGACAGAACGUCAAAAUAAACAAAUUAAACCUUCCUGUCAUCAAAUCUAAAUAGACACGGGAUGCAUUUUGAUACAAAGCUUUUUUACCUUAAGCUAUUUGAUAGCAUUUCAUGUUCUAUUUCAAUCUCCAUUAAUCUUUUAUCAUCUCUUGGAAUAUCGAACCAAACCCUUAUUUAAAGACUUUCAUGAACCAAAUACCAUUUAGCAAAUAUUCAUGCUUCCGCAAAUCUUAAACAUGAAUAUGCUUCUUAUUAGAUAAUCAACGAAAC